GACAGAGGGUGCAAACGUUGCUCGGAAUCACUGGGCGUAAAGCGCACGUAGGCGGGUCUUUAAGUCGGGGGUGAAAUCCUGGAGCUCAACUCCAGAACUGCCUUCGAUACUGAGGAUCUCGAGUCCGGGAGAGGUGAGUGGAACUCCGAGUGUAGAGGUGAAAUUCGUAGAUAUUGGGAAGAACACCAGUGGCGAAGGCGGCUCACUGGCCCGUAACUGACGCUGAGGUGCGAAAGCGUGGGGAGCAAACAGG
rnacentral:rRNA from 1 species